UCGCGCUGAUCACCGGUGAUCGAUUCUGCGCAGAAUUUGCUCAUCUCAAACAAGCCUACUCAGACAGUUGAACUUGAACAACGUCAUGGCAAACACAGUCCUUUAGAAGCCUACACAGCAAAUUUCAGGAGUUGAAAAAUCAUGAGUUCGGCAAAAAGUUAUUUUUUUAACUCUAACUACACUCUGUGUUAUUGGAUACUCCCGGGCUGUGUUGUAUUUUGGUGUUCAGGUGUGUUUUGGUUUUAACGCUAACGUUACACCUGGAGUUAUUUUUGAGAAGUGCGCCACGACACGACCCUGCAGCUGGACAAAGGAAUAAUGGACUUAUGUGCCUCGUCGUGAGAUACGACUGUCCUGCAGACAACCGGUUGAAGUUACUCCUCCUCAAAUCUGAACCAAAUGGAUUUGCUGAAAUAAAGGCAGUAAAUCAAGAA